GACGAACCGUGCGAACGUUAUUCGGAAUCACUGGGCUUAAAGGGCGCGUAGGCGGGCCGCCAGGUCCGGGGUGAAAGCCUCCAGCUCAACUGGAGAAGUGCCUUGGAUACCGGCGGCCUCGAGGGAGGUAGGGGCGUGCGGAACUUCGGGUGGAGCGGUGAAAUGCGUAGAUAUCCGAAGGAACACCGGUGGCGAAAGCGGCGCGCUGGAUCUCUUCUGACGCUGAGGCGCGAAAGCUAGGGGAGCAAACGGG
rnacentral:rRNA from 1 species